CUUCCACCUCUGCAGGAUUGCGGCAUCUGAUCCAUGUGAACUUUGCUUUAUGAGAGGAGCUGAUUAGACAAUGCAACCAGGAUAGUUGCAGUUUUUUUGUCCAAGCUGUAAGAAGUUUCAUGUCCAGUUUCUGUAUGAGUCCAAGUUUGAAGUGGAUAAAACCUCAAUCCAUGUGAAAAAAGCAUGUGUGGCUAUGCUGAAGAAUGUUGUUCGCCAACGGCGCUAUAAGUUAAAGAAGAUGUAUUUUGGUCCUCUUCCACUACAUCAAGUGCCCAAGAAAUGUGUUGAUAUUUGUUUGAAAUGUGUUGAGACUUGUAAUGGUGAUGGCAUUGACAUGUGUAAGUCUUGCCAUUUUCUCAGUAACUGAUACCCUAUAUUCUGGAGAUGGGAUUAACAUGUAAUGAAGAUGGCAUUGAUCAUCUGUACCUGAUCUUUUGUUUUCUAAACCUUUUCUGUGAUGAAAAUAGGUUGUGAUCUGUGA